rnacentral:rRNA from 1 species
GAUGAACGCUGGCGGCGUGCCUAACACAUGCAAGUCGAACGAAGCUUGACGGAUGAUUUCUUCGGAAUGAAACCAGAUAUGACUUAGUGGCGGACGGGUGAGUAACACGUGAGCAACCUGCCUUUCAGAGGGGGAUAACGGCUGGAAACGGUCGCUAAUACCGCAUGAUGUGUUCGGAUGGCAUCAUCUGAACAUCAAAGAUUUAUCGCUGAAAGAUGGGCUCGCGUCUGAUUAGAUAGUUGGUGGGGUAACGGCCUACCAAGUCUACGAUCAGUAGCCGGACUGAGAGGUUGAACGGCCACAUUGGGACUGAGAUACGGCCCAGACUCCUACGGGAGGCAGCAGUGGGGAAUAUUGCACAAUGGGGGAAACCCUGAUGCAGCAACGCCGCGUGAAGGAUGACGGUUUUCGGAUUGUAAACUUCCUUUCUUAGUGACGAAGACAGUGACGGUAGCUAAGGAAUAAGCAUCGGCUAACUACGUG